AAAUAAGAAGCAAAAAUUGCAUUUAAUUUCGACUUAAAAGAAUGAGUUAAUUAAACUCCUUAUUUA
rnacentral:tRNA from 1 species